rnacentral:rRNA from 1 species
AGAGUUUGAUCCUGGCUCAGGAUGAACGCUGGCGGCGUGCUUAACGCAUGCAAGUCGAACGAAGCACUUUAUUUGAUUUCCUUCGGGACUGAUUAUUUUGUGACUGAGUGGCGGACGGGUGAGUAACGCGUGGGUAACCUGCCUUGUACAGGGGGAUAACAGUUGGAAACGGCUGCUAAUACCGCAUAAGCGCACAGCAUCGCAUGAUGCAGUGUGAAAAACUCCGGUGGUAUAAGAUGGACCCGCGUUGGAUUAGCUAGUUGGUGAGGUAACGGCCCACCAAGGCGACGAUCCAUAGCCGACCUGAGAGGGUGACCGGCCACAUUGGGACUGAGACACGGCCCAAACUCCUACGGGAGGCAGCAGUGGGGAAUAUUGCACAAUGGGCGAAAGCCUGAUGCAGCGACGCCGCGUGAGCGAAGAAGUAUUUCGGUAUGUAAAGCUCUAUCAGCAGAGAAGAUAAUGACGGUACCUGACUAAGAAGCACCGGCUAAAUACGUGCCAGCAGCCGCGGUAAUACGUAUGGUGCAAGCGUUAUCCGGAUUUACUGGGUGUAAAGGGAGCGCAGGCGGUGCGGCAAGUCUGAUGUGAAAGCCCGGGGCUCAACCCCGGUACUGCAUUGGAAACUGUCGUACUAGAGUGUCGGAGGGGUAAGCGGAAUUCCUAGUGUAGCGGUGAAAUGCGUAGAUAUUAGGAGGAACACCAGUGGCGAAGGCGGCUUACUGGACGAUAACUGACGCUGAGGCUCGAAAGCGUGGGGAGCAAACAGGAUUAGAUACCCUGGUAGUCCACGCCGUAAAC